GAUGAACGCUGGCGGCGUGCCUAAUACAUGCAAGUCGAGCGAACGGACGAGAAGCUUGCUUCUCUGAUGUUAGCGGCGGACGGGUGAGUAACACGUGGAUAACCUACCUAUAAGACUGGGAUAACUUCGGGAAACCGGAGCUAAUACCGGAUAAUAUUUUGAACCGCAUGGUUCAAAAGUGAAAGACGGUCUUGCUGUCACUUAUAGAUGGAUCCGCGCUGCAUUAGCUAGUUGGUAAGGUAACGGCUUACCAAGGCAACGAUGCAUAGCCGACCUGAGAGGGUGAUAGGCCACACUAGAACUGAGACACGGUCCAGACUCCUACGGGAGGCAGCAGUAGGGAAUCUUCCGCAAUGGGCGAAAGCCUGACGGAGCAACGCCGCGUGAGUGAUGAAGGUCUUCGGAUCGUAAAACUCUGUUAUUAGGGAAGAACAUAUGUGUAAGUAACUGUGCACAGCUUGACGGUACCUAAUCAGAAAGCCACGGCUAACUACGUG
rnacentral:rRNA from 1 species